UCUGACCGCUGAAAAUGUAAAUGGGUAUGUAUCUACCAUGUUUACUAAUGUUCAUGACAUGUAGUAAUUUGCAUUUGUCAUCCAUUUGCUUUAGAAGUGACCUCUGUCUGUUAUGUGACUAGGCUGUAGGAAAACUUAUAUACGUGACAGUUCCCUGUUUGAUCUUUAUCUCUUAAUAACUUCACUUUUCUGCAUGAUAUCUUAAAUCAGUACAUAUCCCUCAUCCAUAGUUUUGUAGUUGACAUGGUUAGAAAUUGAUUGCUUAAGAAAACAUUUUAGAUUAUCUUGUCUCCUGCUGCCUGAAGUUUAAUAUGUUAGAUUGAAGUUAUCAUCCAUUUAUAAUGCGUUAACUGAAGUAGGGAGGGUGCCAGGUUGUGGUUUCCAUUGAUCAAUGAGAUCCUUGUCACUAGAUGGUACAGGAACCUCUCAAGGAGAAAGGGGCUAGAGAAAAGUGGCCCACUUAAGAGUCCUGAAAGGAGCAGCAUAUUUUUCUUAAUGUAGCGAUUACAUUAUAAUGUUAAGAAAUCGCUCAGCUUAAAUGCUCAAAAUUGUAACUAAGGACCUCAGAAUAAAUCCUAAUAUCUUUACCACAUCCACUUAGCCAGAGCCCAUGGGGUUUAUUGUAUGGACAGACACAGGGUCUGCCUUAUCUUGUGAUGAAUUUAAUUAGUAAGAUGGGUCUCACAUUUGAACUUUAGACCUUUUAGUUGAAGAGGGUUUGAUACUAUGUAUGGAAACCACUCCAAUAAAAAGCACUAACUUCUGAGUAUAAAAUAUAAGUGCUCAGCUUUAUUCAGCUAAGCAUUGUUUGGAAAUCAAUGGAACUUGCUAGUGCUUACACUUUAAUGUAUCAGGACAUCAGCCCAAUUAUGUCAAUGACAUAGGAUCGUAAAGAAACUAGGGGAAGUAGCACUUUUCAUCAAUGGAGGAGGGGAGGGAGUUUACUGUUUUGCUGUUAAUUGUUAGAACACAAUAUGUACUAUAACUUGUCAUAUACACCAUCCAAAAUAAUAGAGCAAUAGACUAGGAUGUAACUCUUAGUAUUAAAAUAGGAUGGAUGAAAUAGAGGAGUGUGACGGGUGUUUUAUGCAAUCGUAAGAUACCUGACAAAGUGAAAGGUAAGCUCUAUAUAACUAUGGUUAGGCCAGCAGUGUUGUGCAGAAGUUAAUGUUGGGCAUCUGAGAUACAACACUUCCACAAGAUGAUUGUGGCAGAGAUAUGGAUGUUAAGAUGGAUGUUUGAUAUUACGAUUGUAGACACCAUAUUUUAGCCGAUCUUCAAAGGCAUAACUCUUGUAAUUAACAUACACCUUUUAAUAAGGAUUGCAAUUUAGUCGAUCUCCCUUGAAGGCGUUUAUCUGAUCUCAACCAGUUACCUAACCAUAGGUCAUUUUCCCUAAAUUGAUAACCUCACAGAUAAAGAUAAAUUACAAGUUUAUUUGACUGCAAGAAAGUUCAAAUCAAAUUUUCUUCGAUCUCUCUGCUUAUUCGACCUGUUCAGAUUGGCGUCGGAUCUUCAGAGCAUCUAAUCUUACAUUUUGUUGAUCUCCUGAUCUAUCUGUGUUCAAAAUCCCAAAUCGCGGGUAAAUUCAUGACCAGGUAUCUCGUCCGAAUUGUUCGAAUAGUUAACCAAGUUAGUGUUUUAUCCGAUCUCUAAAUAAAUGGUCCAUGACCCGUUCUCAAAUUAUUUUUAAAAUAUUUUCAAGUUUUAAUUAAUUUGCAGUCACAAAAUUCUCUGAUCUCUUUAGGCAAUCAUGUUUUAUGAUCAAUAACCGAUCUUAGGUUUUGUGCUCAAGCUCAUCCAAUCAAUUGGGAGUUGAUUCAGCAUUCAUCCAUGCUUAGUUUGAUAUUUUCUGAUCUCAUCAAGAAUUGAUUGUGAAAAACUUUAAAAUUCAUU
rnacentral:misc_RNA from 1 species